UCUGCCCUGUGAGGAUGCAGCAAGAAAACCCUCACCAGAUGCCAGUGCCUUGAUCUUGGACUUCCCAGCCCCCAGAGCUGACUAGAUCGCUAGCUGGCCCUUUGAUUUAACUCUUCAUCUACCAUAAUCUUUGAUGCUAAAAGCAGAAUGGACUGAGAGAUGCCUUGGACAUAAGUGAUUUCACAUCUGUAACUAUAUCCUGCAAACAUUUGUAGACACAUCUUGGGAAAGAAGCACUCAUGCUUGCAUCUGUUUCCAACAUCUGUGCAUUUAAGUCAGCAACAAAAGUCACCAGGCAUUUGAGCUUUCCCUGCUAUAAUGUUUCUGAUUUACCUUGACAGCGUGAGUAAUCCAAUCAAAGACAAUAUUCCUCUUGAUUUCAGUAAUGAGAGAGACUACACUUAUCUGAAACCUGUGUUACAUUCAUCUCACCAAUACAGUACUAAUGAAAAGGACAAAUAACUGAGUCUCUCUUGGUGGCCUGCAUGCAACUGCUUAAAUACAUAAGUGCAUAGCAACAAUAUGUGAAUAACAUAUAAAAAUAAAUAUGUUCAAGUGCAGCAGGGUGAGUGGGUUUUGUAGGGUCAGUGGCGUGAAUGGGGGUUAAUUUCUGUUCAGUCAGGUGAGGUACAAAUGCAUCAACUUUGCUGGAAAAUAGUUCCAAUUGUGGCUAAAUGGUCUAGUUUCCUGCAGGAUACAAGCAGCCUAUUAUUUAGUGUUUUAAAAGGCUUGUUCAAAUUUGACCAUUUGUAUGGGAAUCAAUACAACAGAGGAUGGGGACAAAUAUCAGAGGUCACACCAAGCACAUCAUCAAGGGCAGGUCCAAGUGCCCAUAAUUUCUCCAAUAAUCCAGGGGACAAAACCCCUUUUGGUCUGGUG
rnacentral:lncRNA from 1 species